GAGGCAGCAGGCUAGAAAAUUGGGCAAUGGGGGAAACCCUGACCCAGUGACGCCGCGUGCAGGAAGAAGCCCUUCGGGGUGUAAACUGCUGUCGUGCGGGGCGAAGGGUCCAUAGGCGAAUAGCUUAUGGGCUUGACGGUACCGCAGGAGGAAGCCCAGGCUAACCUCGUGCCAGCAGCCGCGGUAAUACGGGGUGGGCGAGCGUUGCCCGGAAUUACUGGGUUUAAAGGGGGUGUAGGCGGUCCGGAGAGUCAGGUGUGUAAUCCAACCGCUCAACAGUUGGGCUGCACCUGAUACUUCCGGGCUAGAGGGCGGUAGAGGAGAGCGGAACUCCCGGUGUAGCGGUGAAAUGCGUAGAUAUCGGGAGGAACGCCGGUGGCGAAGGCGGCUCUCUGGGCCGUUCCUGACGCUGAGGCCCGAAAGCUGGGGGAGCGAAAGGGGUUAGAUACCCCUGUAGUCCCAGCCGUAAACGAUGGGCACUAGGUGUUCCUCCGAAGGGGGGAGUGCCGACGGGAAACCAUUAAGUGCCCCACCUGGGGA
rnacentral:rRNA from 1 species